AGUGAACGCUGGCGGUAGGCCUAACACAUGCAAGUCGAACGGCAGCACAGUAAGAGCUUGCUCUUACGGGUGGCGAGUGGCGGACGGGUGAGGAAUACAUCGGAAUCUACUUUUUCGUGGGUGAUAACGUAGGGAAACUUACGCUAAUACCGCAUACGACCUACGGGUGAAAGCAGGGGAUCUUCGGACCUUGCGCGAUUGAAUGAGCCGAUGUCGGAUUAGCUAGUUGGCGGGGUAAAGGCCCACCAAGGCGACGAUCCGUAGCUGGUCGGAGAGGAUGAUCAGCCACACUGGAACUGAGACACGGUCCAGACUCCUACGGGAGGCAGCAGUGGGGAAUAUUGGACAAUGGGCGCAAGCCUGAUCCAGCCAUACCGCGUGGGUGAAGAAGGCCUUCGGGUUGUAAAGCCCUUUUGUUGGGAAAGAGAAGCAGCAGGUUAAUACCCCGCUGUUCUGACGGUACCCAAAGAAUAAGCACCGGCUAACUUCGUG
rnacentral:rRNA from 1 species